CUUGGUCAUUUAGAGGAAGUAAAAGUCGUAACAAGGUCUCCGUUGGUGAGCCAGCGGAGGGAUCAUUACCGAGUACUAUAACUCAUAACCCUUUGUGAACCUUCAUACCUGUUGCUUCGGCGGCGCGCCUCUCGGGGCGUGCCCGCCGGCAUAAUCAGAAUCUCUGUUCGAACCCGACGAUACUUCUGAGUGUUCUAAGCGAACUGUUAAAACUUUCAACAACGGAUCUCUUGGCUCCAGCAUCGAUGAAGAACGCAGCGAAACGCGAUAUGUAAUGUGAAUUGCAGAAUUCAGUGAAUCAUCGAAUCUUUGAACGCACAUGGCGCCUUCCAGUAUCCUGGGAGGCAUGCCUGUCCGAGCGUCGUUUCAACCCUCGAGCCCCCGUGGCCCGGCGUUGGGGACCUGCCCAGGCAGUCCCCGAAAACCAGUGGCGGACCCGACGGGCCCUUCCUUUGCGUAGUAACAUCUGCCUCGCAUCGGGAGCCCCCGGGCUAUCCGGCCUCUAAACCCCCCUCAAGCCCGCUCCGGCGGCACCAAGGUUGACCUCGGAUCAGGUAGGAAUACCCGCUGAACUUAAGCAUAUCAAUAAGCGGAGGA
rnacentral:rRNA from 1 species